AUACGCCUACGGGGGGCAGCAGUGGGGAAUAUUGGGCAAUGGAGGAAACUCUUACCCAGCAAUGCCGCGUGAAUGAAGAAGGUCUUCGGAUUGUAAAGUUCUUUAAUUGGGGACGAAAAAAAUGACGGUACCCAAGGAAUAAGCCCCGGCUAACUACGUGCCGGCAGCCGCGGUAAUACGUAGGUGGCGAGCGUUGUCCGGAAUUACUGGGUGUAAAGGGAGCGUAGGCGGGAGAGCAAGUCGACUGUGAAAUCUAUGGGCUUAACCCAUAGCUGCGAUCGAAACUGUUCAUCUUGAGUGAAGUA
rnacentral:rRNA from 1 species